GUACUCUCACACUCUCUGAUCCUUUGGAUUUGGGGAGUGGUGGACUUGGGUGCCUGCUGCUUUCCUCGUAGCUCACCUCAAAUACAUCAGUGCACCUCUUGAUUGGACAUAGUACGGCGUGAUAAGUGUCUUCGCUGGCACCUCGUAAGAGGGUGGCUGAUCGGGAGCUCUGUGCUUCCAAUCGUCUUCGGACAAUCACUGACA
rnacentral:misc_RNA from 1 species